rnacentral:tRNA from 3 species
GCGCCUGUAGCUCAGCGGACAGAGUGUCAGCUUGCGGAGCUGAAGGUCAGAGGUUCGAAUCCUCUCAGGCGCA